GGGUUGUGAGGUUAAGUGACUAAGCGUACACGGUGGAUGCCUAGGCAGUCAGAGGCGAUGAAGGGCGUGCUAAUCUGCGAAAAGCGUCGGCAAGGUGAUAUGAACCGUUAUACCCGACGAUACCCGAAUGGGGAAACCCAGUGCAAUCCGUUGCACUAUCAUGUCAUGAAUACAUAGUGGCAUGAGGCGAACCGGGGGAACUGAAACAUCUCAGUACCCCGAGGAAAAGAAAUCAACCGAGAUUCCCCCAGUAGCGGCGAGCGAACGGGGAGGAGCCCAGAACCUGAAUCAGUUUGAGUCUUAGUGGAAGCGUCUGGAAAGUCGCACGACAGAGGGUGAUAGUCCCGUACACGAAGAGGCAUGAGCUGUGAGUUCGACGAGUAGGGCGGGACACGUGUUAUCCUGUCUGAAUAUGGGGGGACCAUCCUCCAAGGCUAAAUACUCCUGACUGACCGAUAGUGAACCAGUACCGUGAGGGAAAGGCGAAAAGAACCCCGGCGAGGGGAGUGAAAUAGAACCUGAAACCGUGUACGUACAAGCAGUGGGAGCAUCCUUCGGGGUGUGACUGCGUACCUUUUGUAUAAUGGGUCAGCGACUUAUAUUCUGUAGCAAGGUUAACCGCAUAGGGGAGCCGCAGGGAAACCGAGUCUUAACUGGGCGUUAAGUUGCAGGGUAUAGACCCGAAACCCGGUGAUCUAGCCAUGGGCAGGUUGAAGGUUGGGUAACACUAACUGGAGGACCGAACCGACUAAUGUUGAAAAAUUAGCGGAUGACUUGUGGCUGGGGGUGAAAGGCCAAUCAAACCGGGAGAUAGCUGGUUCUCCCCGAAAGCUAUUUAGGUAGCGCCUCGUGAAUUCAUCUUCGGGGGUAGAGCACUGUUUCGACUAGGGGGCCAUCCCGGCUUACCAACUCGAUGCAAACUGCGAAUACCGAAGAAUGUUAUCACGGGAGACACACGGCGGGUGCUAACGUCCGUCGUGAAGAGGGAAACAACCCAGACCGCCAGCUAAGGUCCCAAAGUCAUGGUUAAGUGGGAAACGAUGUGGGAAGGCCCAGACAGCCAGGAUGUUGGCUUAGAAGCAGCCAUCAUUUAAAGAAAGCGUAAUAGCUCACUGGUCGAGUCGGCCUGCGCGGAAGAUGUAACGGGGCUAAACCAUGCACCGAAGCUGCGGCAGCGACGCUUAGGCGUUGUUGGGUAGGGGAGCGUUCUGUAAGCCUGCGAAGGUGGCCUGUGAGGGCUGCUGGAGGUAUCAGAAGUGCGAAUGCUGACAUAAGUAACGAUAAUGCGGGUGAAAAACCCGCACGCCGGAAGACCAAGGGUUCCUGUCCAACGUUAAUCGGGGCAGGGUGAGUCGACCCCUAAGGCGAGGCCGAAAGGCGUAGUCGAUGGGAAACAGGUUAAUAUUCCUGUACUUGGUGUUACUGCGAAGGGGGGACGGAGAAGGCUGGGUUAUCCGGGCGACGGUUGUCCCGGUUUAAGCGUGUAGGUGGGUGUUUUUGGUAAAUCCGGAACACCGUUAACACUGAGGCGUGAUGACGAGUCACUACGGUGAUGAAGUAACCGAUGCCAAGCUUCCAGGAAAAGCCUCUAAGCUCCAGGUAACACGAAAUCGUACCCCAAACCGACACAGGUGGUCAG
rnacentral:rRNA from 1 species